rnacentral:rRNA from 1 species
CCUACGUGGGGCAGCAGUGAGGGAUAUUGGUCAAUGGGGGAAACCCUGAACCAGCAACGCCGCGUGAGGGAAGACGGUUUUCGGAUUGUAAACCUCUGUCCUCUGUGAAGAUAAUGACGGUAGCAGAGGAGGAAGCUCCGGCUAACUACGUGCCAGCAGCCGCGGUAAUACGUAGGGAGCAAGCGUUGUCCGGAUUUACUGGGUGUAAAGGGUGCGUAGGCGGCCCUGCAAGUCAGAAGUGAAAUCCAUGGGCUUAACCCGUGAACUGCUUUUGAAACUGUAGGGCUUGAGUGAAGUAGAGGCAGGCGGAAUUCCCGGUGUAGCGGUGAAAUGCGUAGAGAUCGGGAGGAACACUCGUGGCGAAGGCGGGUUCCUGGACAUUAACUGACGCUGAGGCACGAAGGCCAGGGGAGCGAAAGGGAUUAGAUACCCCAGUAGUC